rnacentral:rRNA from 1 species
UGGGGAAUCAUAGACAAUGGGGGCAACCCUGAUCUUGCCAUGCCGCGUGGUCGAUGAAGGCCUUAGGGUUGUAAAGACCUUUCACCGGUGACGAUAAUGACGGUAGCCGGAGAAGAAGCCCCGGCUAACUCCGUGCCAGCAGCCGCGGUAAUACGGAGGGGGCUAGCGUUGUUCGGAAUUACUGGGCGUAAAGCGCACGUAGGCGGGCAUUUAAGUCGGGGGUGAAAUCCCGGGGCUCAACCCUGGAACUGCCUUCGAUACUGGGUGCCUAGAGAACGGAAGAGGUGAGUGGAAUUCCGAGUGUAGAGGUGAAAUUCGUAGAUAUUCGGAGGAACACCAGUGGCGAAGGCGGCCCACUGGCUCGAUACUGACGCUGAGGUGCGAAAGUGUGGGGAGCAAACAGGAUUAGAUACCCCGGUAGUCC